UACGGUGGGGGCAAGCGUUGUUCGGAAUUACUGGGCGUAAAGGGUUCGUAGGUGGCCAACUAAGUCAGACGUGAAAUCCCUCAGCUUAACUGGGGAACUGCGUCUGAUACUGGUUGGCUUGAGUGCAGGAGAGGAACGCGGAAUUCCAGGUGUAGCGGUGAAAUGCGUAGAUAUCUGGAGGAACACCGGUGGCGAAGGCGGCGUUCUGGACUGCAACUGACACUGAGGAACGAAAGCCAGGGGAGCAAACGGG
rnacentral:rRNA from 1 species